CAGAGUUUUACCAUGCGGAAAGAUAAAUAUUCUUUACACCAAACACUACUUUUCCUGUUUUAAUUUCCUCAUUGGACUUUCAGGCCACACCAGGAACAAAGGUUUAGCAUUCCUACAGAACAUGAAGAAAGGAGUCAAUUCUCCUGACUGGCCUCUGUGAUUUGGUUAUAUCACAAAUGGAUUUUUGGAUAUAACAAUGGAUAUACCAAUGGAUAAUGGAUAUAUCACAUAUACAGAAAAGACUCCUCUGUUAACCUCUGGGAUUCCCUAACUGAAAACAAAUGUUGUCGCUUGCUGACCUCACAGAUCUGAUCUCAAGUCCAGCGAUUAAGUGCUACUUCUUCCCAUAAACAACAAUGACAGAGCACGAAGAAAGGGUGAGGCGACAAACGUUCUUACCACUGCUGACCACUGUCUCCUUCAGACAGGUCAACUCUGUACUUGAACAAAAUGUGCUCAAUGACACUGGCUCUGUUCCUGUGGGGAAAGCGCUCCCCUCCCCCCACAUCCCCAUGACAAUUUGCUAAAAUUGUUCACAGCCAUCAGCCCUCUCUCAGACUUCAGGCUGCAGCGAGGAGAAAGACAAUUGGCUCAUGAGCCCAGAACACAUCUCUAUUGGAUGCUGACUGCAGCAGCAUAGGCAGUAAGGGUGAAAAAAAAUCUCUUGAAGAAAAAAAAGCAGUAUCACAACACAGGCUAUCUGAGCCUGGCUCCUUCUCUCACUCCACUCCCACCCCCGACACUUCCACCGACUCUCCAAGGCACGUCCCCAAAUAUCUAAAGAAAUGACACUCCACGAAAGUUACUUAAAAAUCAUCACUGGGAAUAAAACAGGAAUUUGGGGAAAGAA